AAAUCAUUUCGAUACGAUUAGAUAUUAGAGGGUGAAGUGAAGUGUAGAAAUAAAGACUCCAUUUUUAGGCUAAUUUUUGCCAGAGAUUUCUUUGAGGUAGUUAAACUUUCUCACAGACUAUUGGCUGUUGAUUGCUUCUCCUAUGUCCAAUCGGAUGGUGCUUAGCUACACCAAUUCAUUUGCAGUAUUUAGACCUAAAUUUAAUGGCCAUUUCAUUCCCUCCAUAUACCACUCUGAUGUGUUAUCCUUGACGAGGCAUGUGUCUUCCACAACUGCUCUCUCCUUUUGUCAGCUUCAGGCAUCAAAACUUCAUGACAGUCCAGUUACUGUUGCAAGUGAUGUUAGAUAUGGUAGUAAACAGAUUAUAAGUGUUGAUUCGACACUGUAUGACUACAUAUUGACCAAUGUUAGGGAACCAAAGAUUUUGCGUGAACUUAGGGAGGAGACAGCAACAAUGCGAGGUAGUCAGAUGCAGGUGUCACCGGAUCAAGCACAAUUACUUGCUAUGCUCGUCCAGAUUCUUGGGGCAAAAAGGUGCAUUGAAGUGGGAACAUAUACUGGAUAUUCAUCCUUGGCUGUUGCCUUGGUCCUUCCAGAAGGGGGUCAUUUAGUUGCUUGUGACAGAGAUGGCAAAGCAAUUGAGGUUGCAAAAAGAUAUUAUGACCGAGCUGGUGUGUCACAUAAGGUGGAUGUGCGACAUGGUCUAGCAGCAGAUACUUUGAAGUCUUUGAUUCAAAAUGGUGAAAGUUGCAGAUAUGAUUUUGCAUUUAUUGACGCAGAAAAGAAAAUGUAUCAAGAGUACUUUGAGUUGCUGCUACAACUGGUGCGUUGCACGUCUAAAAUUACUGCAUUGUUUACUAAACCUGGCAAUCUGAAGUUGUAAAAGCCAUUCCCUUCACAGGUAAAUGAUUCCAAGACUCUUAGCAUUAGAAACUUUAAUGAAAACUUGAUGAAGGAUAACCGCGUCGACAUCAGUAUGGUGCCUAUUGGUGAUGGUAUGACAAUUUGUAGAAAAAGAUGAAGCAUAAAAAAAGAGAUUGGAUAUUGAACUACCUUAGCCAAGCCAUUUUAUGCUUGUUUAGCCUAAGUUUCUAGUGUAAUAUUUUGUUGUUUCACUUAUUCAUUUGUAAGAGAGUGUAAAUUUACGGCGCGAAUCCAGAUUUAGUAGGGCUCCAAUGUGGGUACCAGACAUCGGGUUGAAAAUCAAAAAAUAUAUAUAUAUUUGACUUCUCACCUUGGACUU